UACGAAGGGGGCUAGCGUUGCUCGGAAUCACUGGGCGUAAAGCGCACGUAGGCGGAUCUUUAAGUCAGGGGUGAAAUCCUGGAGCUCAACUCCAGAACUGCCUUUGAUACUGGGGAUCUCGAGUCCGGGAGAGGUGAGUGGAGCUGCGAGUGUAGAGGUGAAAUUCGUAGAUAUUCGCAAGAACACCAGUGGCGAAGACGGCUCACUGGCCCGGUACUGACGCUGAGGUGCGAAAGCGUGGGGAGCAAACAGG
rnacentral:rRNA from 1 species